rnacentral:rRNA from 1 species
CCUACGGGAGGCUGCAGUGAGGAAUAUUGGUCAAUGGGCGAGAGCCUGAACCAGCCAAGCCGCGUGAGGGAAGACGGUCCUACGGGUUGUAAACCUCUUUUGUCGGAGAACAAAGCCGGGGACUUGUCCCCGGAUGCGUGUACCCGAAGAAAAAGCAUCGGCUAACUCCGUGCCAGCAGCCGCGGUAAUACGGAGGAUGCGAGCGUUAUCCGGAUUUAUUGGGUUUAAAGGGUGCGCAGGCGGUCUGUUAAGUCAGCGGUAAAAGCCCGGGGCUCAACCCCGUCGCGCCGUUGAAACUGGCAGUCUUGAGUUGGAGAGAAGUACGCGGAAUGCGCGGUGUAGCGGUGAAAUGCAUAGAUAUCGCGCAGAACUCCGAUUGCGAAGGCAGCAUGCCGGCGCCAGACUGACGCUGAGGCACGAAAGCGUGGGGAUCGAACAGGAUUAGAUACCCGGGUAGUC